GAUGAACGCUGGCGGCGUGCUUAACACAUGCAAGUCGAACGGUGAAGCAGAGCUUGCUCUGUGGAUCAGUGGCGAACGGGUGAGUAACACGUGAGCAACCUGCCCCUGACUCUGGGAUAAGCGCUGGAAACGGCGUCUAAUACCGGAUAUGAGCUGCGACCGCAUGGUCAGCAGUUGGAAAGAUUUUUCGGUCUGGGAUGGGCUCACGGCCUAUCAGCUUGUUGGUGAGGUAAUGGCUCACCAAGGCGUCGACGGGUAGCCGGCCUGAGAGGGUGACCGGCCACACUGGGACUGAGACACGGCCCAGACUCCUACGGGAGGCAGCAGUGGGGAAUAUUGCACAAUGGGCGAAAGCCUGAUGCAGCAACGCCGCGUGAGGGAUGACGGCCUUCGGGUUGUAAACCUCUUUUAGCAGGGAAGAAGCGAAAGUGACGGUACCUGCAGAAAAAGCGCCGGCUAACUACGUG
rnacentral:rRNA from 1 species